rnacentral:lncRNA from 1 species
GUUUUACUGCUGUGAAGAGACACCAUGACCAAGGCAAGUCAUAUAAGCAUGACAUUUAACUGGGGCUGGCUUACAGGUUCAGAGGUUCAGUCCAUUAUCAUCAAGGCGGGAACAUGGCAGCAUCCAGGCAGGCAUGGUGCAGGAGGAGCCGAGAGUUCCACCUCUUGUUCUAAAGGGAGCUACAUCUGGAUUCUAGGCAACUAUGACAAGGAUCUUAAAGCCCACACCCUCGGUGACACACCUACUCCAACAAGGCUGCACCUCCUAAUAGUGCCACUCCCUGGGUCAAGCACAUACAAACCAUUACAGGGACCGAGGUUUCACAUGGGUCUUUAGAGAUUUGGACAAUAUUGAAACCACAGCAUAUUACUUAGCCAAAAAAAAAAAAAAAAAGCAACAACAG